rnacentral:rRNA from 1 species
AUGAUAAGGCUUCUCCAAACGGACGACGAAGGCUGGUACAUCAACGAAUUCAGGUCCAAACACAACCACCCCAUGCUGAACACUUGUGCUGAGAAGUUGCAUUUCCCAUCGCAUAGGCAUAUUGACAAAUACACACGUGAGCUUGUUUCUCAACUAAGACAGAACAAUGUAAAUCUGAGCAAGGUUUAUAGUAUAAUCGCAACAUUUUUUGGUAGAGUUGAGAAUGUGCCAUUCACCAAGAGAUGUUUAAGGACUCUGUGUGGGAAGCUUAGCGGGGAGCAAGCUGAUGACGAUGUGCGAAAGACAAUGGCUAUUUUUUCAGAAAUGAAAGCACAAGACAGUGAGUUCACAUACAACGUUCAGGUAGAUGAUGAGAGUAGGAUACGGACCCUUAUGUGGACGAACGGGCGUAGCAAAACACAGUACCAUCACUUCGGUGACGUUAUCACCUUCGACACGACAUACAACAAGCUCCAGUUCGACCGAGAACAGGAGGAAGGAUUCCAGGAGAAACGUACUAGACUGAGUCAUGCUGUGCUGAAGGUGAACACCUCUCUUGAAGUACACGCAAGCAAGAUAUAUACCAGGAAGAUGUUUGAGAUUUUUGGUGGCAUAAUGUAUGAAUCUAGAAUGUAUGAUGUCGAAGAAAUCAUAGAGAAGCAGAAAUACAUAGUGACACACCGGAAAGCCGAGCUCCGUGAGAAGUGGUUCAAGUGCCGGUUUGAGGUCAACGUGUCUGAUAACCUUGGUUAUGUCUUGUGCAUUUGCGGUCUGUUUGAGCACAUGGGCAUGGUUUGCUGUCACUCGCUACAGGUGAUGGUUCUACUACGCCUGAAGCAGAUGCCUUCGAGGCAUAUACUGAAAAGGUGGAGCAUACACGGCAGAGACAACCUGCCAGCGCAUCUGAAGCACUAUCAACAAGACAUGGGUCCGCCGGAUGCGCCCACUUUCAGGCAUUCUGCUUUGUACAUCACUGCCCUGGAGGUUGCAAAUAUGGGGGACAGGAACCCGGCAGCUUUUGAGUUUAUGAUGACAGGCCUGGUUGAACUUAGAACAAGAGGCGCCGAGGUGUGCACGUUCAACGACGGCCUUGGCGUCGUUGAGCAACAGGUAUCCAACAAUGUAGUUCUUGGCGGUCCAAACUCAAAGUUUGUCAACGGCAAGACAUCUUUCUCCGUAAGAAGUGUGGAAGGCAAUCGAACUAAAUCACGCGAUGCCGCUUCGGUGUCUGUGCAUCCUCCAAUUAGCCAGGCCUCAGAAGCAUCAUGCCCAAAUGGUCAUGGGUACAAUUCACAUUUCUCUGAAGUCGCCUCCAGCCUGAUGCCCAAUGUUGAACAAGAACUGCUUGCCUCGGAAAGAAAAAACAAACGAGGCCGGUCAACCACUAGCCGUGAUAAAGCUCCUUAUGAGAAAGACAGCGCCAAGAGAUCUAGGUUCUGUUCCAUCUGCAGGGGCAAAGGUCACAAAGCCAGCACUUGCCCUGAUCGAGGUGAUAUCCCCAAAAAGGAAAGGAAGGUGGCCACAUGCGGCAAAUGCGGGGUUCCAGGGCACCGAAGGACGACUUGCAGCAAGCCUCUCGUCUCGAUGAUGCCCGGUGUCCCUCCUUCACAUUAG